ACUAGGACAAAGGCUGAAAAACUUGCCUUUCAAAUAAUCACAUAUUGAAACUAAAAAGGAUUUAAACAUGCAUCCGUCUCCUAAAUUUGUAGCGUUUCACAUACCUUACCAAAUAUCACACCUUCGUGGUGAUUGCCCUAUUUAAACCCAAAAGAGAGAGCUUUUGUAGACUGCAAAUUUGAGCUGCUGUCAUCAUCUCCUUUUCGAUUAUGACUUUGUAAAUGACCUAUUCCGGUUAAACCCCUACACCCCCUUUUCAUCCUUCUUUUCUUUGACUUUGCACAUUCAAGUUGGAUGUAAUAUACUAUUAGAUUCGACCCUUGAGGCUUUUAUUCCAACAUUUAUGUAAGCUUUUGGUGGGAUGUUUCUAUAAACACUGGCGGAGCUAUGUUGGCGAGACUCGAGAGGUUAGGGCAACCUGGUUCACAAAGAUCCCGCCGUCGCAUCCCCCAAGGUGUUAUGUAGAAAGCCUACUUUAAAGCAAGCAUUAGUGACUGUUUCUACGGCACGAACCUCUGACCUACAGGUCACAUGGAGACAACUUUACCGUUGCUUCAAGGCUCCCAUGACCUAUAGGUCACACGGAGAUACCUUUAAUUGGGAGAUUGUUCAAUUAAAUUCUUUUUGCCGGAAAAUUUUCCAUGUAUGAUGCUUUAAGGAAAUACGGAAAAGGGCCUAAACUAUCUAUAUCGUUUGCUAAAUGGUUUAUAAAUACCCUCAGUCUAUCUAUUCGUCCAAAAAAUCACACGACGUUAAUUCUAUUAAUAAAAUUAUCCCGCGACCAACGGCAGAACUAGUGAGCCUAAAAUUUAAUGACGUGUAAUUUUUUUUACUGAGCCACGUGACAAUCUCUGAUUGGAACAAAAAUGGAUAUUAUUUCGACCCAUUUACCUUAUUCGAUCCAAGGUUUUGUUACAUGGGUCAUAAAAUUUCAUUAACCCACCUAACUGAUUCUACCAAAAUUAAAUUUAGAUAUCUCACCACCAUGAGAAAAUUUUGUUUCUCAAUUAAGUACUCUUAACUUAGUUUGUUGAAGAUGCCAACGAUUUAUAUAAGCUUUUUUUUUUUCCAAUUUUCCAGGGUAAAAUAAGAAUUAUUUCCCUCACUUUUCCUUUAGUUUUAUGUAACUUUAGGGUGUUGUUCAUGGGAGAAAUGACUAUGGUGGUGGGAGCAGUAGCUAUGGUGAUGGAGUGGCGGAGACAACCGCUGCAGUGGUGAAAAUAGUGUUGCAGCUAGUAUGAUGGUGGAGGUCAACUCCCAAUGGCAGUAGUUGCGCAAGAGAGAAGAUGAAUGGGGAAGAGAGAGUUUGGGUGGAAUCAAGAAGAAGAUCGAGAAAGUGAGGAAGCCAUUGGAAACAACAGGAGAGUUCUUUAGGAGGAGGGACGACGGGAGGAAGCAUCCCAUGUUGACUAAUCAAUUUAGCUACGCUUUUCUUGGCCUUGGCAUCUCCGUCAUCGCUUUCUCCAUCUACUGCAUUGGCAAAUUUGCUUAUCACAAGAUGUCUUCCCCCUUCUCACUCCACCUCUUCCGCNNNNNNNNNNNNNNNNNNNNNNNNNAUUAUUUCGACCCAUUUACCUUAUUCGAUCCAAGGUUUUGUUACAUGGGUCAUAAAAUUUCAUUAACCCACCUAACUGAUUCUACCAAAAUUAAAUUUAGAUAUCUCACCACCAUGAGAAAAUUUUGUUUCUCAAUUAAGUACUCUUAACUUAGUUUGUUGAAGAUGCCAACGAUUUAUAUAAGCUUUUUUUUUUCCAAUUUUCCAGGG
rnacentral:lncRNA from 1 species